rnacentral:rRNA from 1 species
AUUGAACGCUGGCGGCAGGCCUAACACAUGCAAGUCGAGCGGAUGAAGGGAGCUUGCUCCUGGAUUCAGCGGCGGACGGGUGAGUAAUGCCUAGGAAUCUGCCUGGUAGUGGGGGAUAACGUCCGGAAACGGGCGCUAAUACCGCAUACGUCCUGAGGGAGAAAGUGGGGGAUCUUCGGACCUCACGCUAUCAGAUGAGCCUAGGUCGGAUUAGCUAGUUGGUGGGGUAAAGGCCUACCAAGGCGACGAUCCGUAACUGGUCUGAGAGGAUGAUCAGUCACACUGGAACUGAGACACGGUCCAGACUCCUACGGGAGGCAGCAGUGGGGAAUAUUGGACAAUGGGCGAAAGCCUGAUCCAGCCAUGCCGCGUGUGUGAAGAAGGUCUUCGGAUUGUAAAGCACUUUAAGUUGGGAGGAAGGGCAGUAAGUUAAUACCUUGCUGUCUUGACGUUACCAACAGAAUAAGCACCGGCUAGCUUCGUG